GAACACACACGCACGAUAUCAGUAAUAAUAGAUUUAGAUUUAUUGAUUAUUGGGAUAUUAUUGAUCUGUCUUAAUAUGAUGUAUUAGCAUGUUAAUGUGAUUUUUCUGAGGCCUAAUGAAUAUACUGUGUGCUAUUUGAUUGCUGGAAUUACGAAUAUGUAGUUAGUUUUAGGAGCAUUUGCAUUUUGGUUUAGUUUGUCUUGUUGUUUUGUGUUUUGUAGCUUGAGGAGAAGAAACGAUUUAAGUUUGGG
rnacentral:lncRNA from 1 species